GAAAUGCGAUAAGUAGUGUGAAUUGCAGAAUUCAGUGAAUCAUCGAAUCUUUGAACGCACAUUGCGCCCUUUGGUAUUCCUUAGGGCAUGCCUGUUCGAGCGUCAUCUAAACCUUCAAGCCCUGCUUGGUGUUGGGUGCCUGUCCCGCCUCCGCGCGCGGACUCACCUCAAAUCCAUUGGCGGCCCCCGCGUCGGCCACGAGCGCAGCAGAAACGCGAACUCGUGAGCCUGUCCGGGCGGCUCCCAGAAGCUACACCCACCCAGUUUGACCUCGGAUCAGGUAGGGAUACCCGCUGAACUUAAGC
rnacentral:misc_RNA from 1 species